rnacentral:rRNA from 1 species
CACGGGGGGCCUACGGGAGGCAGCAGUGGGGAAUCUUAGACAAUGGGCGCAAGCCUGAUCUAGCCAUGCCGCGUGAGUGAAGAAGGCCUUAGGGUCGUAAAGCUCUUUCGCCAGGGAUGAUAAUGACAGUACCUGGUAAAGAAACCCCGGCUAACUCCGUGCCAGCAGCCGCGGUAAUACGGAGGGGGUUAGCGUUGUUCGGAAUUACUGGGCGUAAAGCGCACGUAGGCGGAUUAGAAAGUAUGNGGUGAAAUCCCAGGGCUCAACCCUGGAACUGCCUCAUAAACUCCUAAUCUAGAGUUCGAGAGAGGUGAGUGGAAUUCCGAGUGUAGAGGUGAAAUUCGUAGAUAUUCGGAGGAACACCAGUGGCGAAGGCGGCUCACUGGCUCGAUACUGACGCUGAGGUGCGAAAGUGUGGGGAGCAAACCAGGAUUAGAUACCCCUGGUAGUCCACACCGUAAACCGAUGAAUGCCAGUCGUCGGAUAGUAUACUAUUCGGUGACACACCUAACGGAUUAAGCAUUCCGCCUGGA